rnacentral:rRNA from 1 species
UACAGAGGGUGCAAGCGUUAAUCGGAUUUACUGGGCGUAAAGCGUGAGUAGGCGGCUCGCCAAGUCGAUUGUGAAAGCCCUGGGCUCAACCUGGGAAUUGCAGUCGAUACUGGUGAACUAGAGUUCGGUAGAGGGUGACGGAAUUCCCGGUGUAGCGGUGAAAUGCGUAGAUAUCGGGAGGAACAUCGAUGGCGAAGGCAAUCACCUGGGCCUGAACUGACACUGAGACACGAAAGCGUGGGUAGCAAACAGG